GAUGAACGCUGGCGGCGUGCCUAAUACAUGCAAGUCGAGCGAACGGACGAGAAGCUUGCUUCUCUGAUGUUAGCGGCGGACGGGUGAGUAACACGUGGAUAACCUACCUAUAAGACUGGGAUAACUUCGGGAAACCGUAGCUAAUACCGGAUAAUAUUUUGAACCGCAUGGUUCAAAAGUGAAAGACGGUCUUGCUGUCACUUAUAGAUGGAUCCGCGCUGCAUUAGCUAGUUGGUAAGGUAACGGCUUACCAAGGCAACGAUGCAUAGCCGACCUGAGAGGGUGAUCGGCCACACUGGAACUGAGACACGGUCCAGACUCCUACGGGAGGCAGCAGUAGGGAAUCUUCCGCAAUGGGCGAAAGCCUGACGGAGCAACGCCGCGUGAGUGAUGAAGGUCUUCGGAUCGUAAAACUCUGUUAUUAGGGAAGAACAUAUGUGUAAGUAACUGUGCACAUCUUGACGGUACCUAAUCAGAAAGUCACGGCUAACCACGUG
rnacentral:rRNA from 1 species